UUGCGCCUGGGGCGGACCCGGCAGCGCCUUCCCCAAAGCUUCCCAGGCAGCGGGCGGCUGUACGGUCUGGUACAUCCCGGAAUUAUCCGGGCUUUAACGCCUUCU
rnacentral:sRNA from 1 species